rnacentral:tRNA from 1 species
GCCCCCGUAGCUCAGGUGGAUAGAGCAAGCGUUUCCUAAACGCUAGGUCGCCUGUUCGAGUCAGGCCGGGGGCAC